GUGGGGAAUAUUGGACAAUGGGCGCAAGCCUGAUCCAGCCAUGCCGCGUGAGUGAUGAAGGCCCUAGGGUUGUAAAGCUCUUUUGUGCGGGAAGAUAAUGACGGUACCGCAAGAAUAAGCCCCGGCUAACUUCGUGCCAGCAGCCGCGGUAAUACGAAGGGGGCUAGCGUUGCUCGGAAUCACUGGGCGUAAAGGGUGCGUAGGCGGGUCUUUAAGUCAGGGGUGAAAUCCUGGAGCUCAACUCCAGAACUGCCUUUGAUACUGAAGAUCUUGAGUUCGGGAGAGGUGAGUGGAACUGCGAGUGUAGAGGUGAAAUUCGUAGAUAUUCGCAAGAACACCAGUGGCGAAGGCGGCUCACUGGCCCGAUACUGACGCUGAGGCACGAAAGCGUGGGGAGCAAACAGGAUUAGAUACCCCAGUAGUCC
rnacentral:rRNA from 1 species